UACGGGGGGGGCAAGCGUUGUUCGGAAUUACUGGGCGUAAAGGGCGCGUAGGCGGCCUUCUAAGUCAGACGUGAAAUCCCUCGGCUCAACCGAGGAACUGCGUCUGAUACUGGAAGGCUUGAAUCCGGGAGAGGGAUGUGGAAUUCCAGGUGUAGCGGUGAAAUGCGUAGAUAUCUGGAGGAACACCGGUGGCGAAGGCGGCGUCCUGGACCAACACUGACACUGAUGAGCGAAAGCCAGGGGAGCAAAUGGG
rnacentral:rRNA from 1 species